GUUCCCGUACGAUCACCGAAGUUAAGAAACAUCGAGCUUGAUCAGUACCUAAAUGGGUAACAGCUUGGGAAUACCAGGUGCUGAA